rnacentral:rRNA from 1 species
UACAGAGGUGGCAAGCGUUGUUCGGAAUUACUGGGCGUAAAGGGCGCGUAGGCGGUUCGGUAAGUCCCGCGUGAAAUCCCCCGGCUCAACUGGGGAACUGCGCGGGAAACUGCCGGGCUUGAGUUCGGGAGAGGGAAGCGGAAUUCCGGGUGUAGCGGUGAAAUGCGCAGAUAUCCGGAGGAACACCGGUGGCGAAGGCGGCUUCCUGGACCGACACUGACGCUGAUGCGCGAAAGCUAGGGGAGCAAAC